rnacentral:rRNA from 1 species
CCUACCGGCAGCAGUGGGGAAUAUUGCGCAAUGGACGAAAGUCUGACGCAGUGACGCCGCGUGAGGGAUGAAGGUUUUCGGAUCGUAAACCUCUGUCAGGAGGGAAGAAAGCGCAUGGCGCCAAUCAGCCAUGCGUUGACGGUACCUCCAAAGGAAGCGCCGGCUAACUCCGUGCCAAGAGCCGCUGUAAUACGGGGGGCGCGGGCGUUCAUCGGAAUUACUGGGGGUAAAGCGCGCGUAGGGUGUUGUGUAAGUUGGGGGUGAAAUCCCAGGGCCCAACCGUGGAACAGCCCUUGAUACUGCGCGACUUGAAUCGGGGAGAGGGUGGCGGAAUUCGAGGUGUAGGAGUGAAAUCCGUAGAUAUCGGGAGGAACAUCAGUGGCGAAGGCGGCCACCUGGAGCGGCAUUGACGCUGAGGCGCGAAAGCGUGGGGAGCAAACAGGAUUAGAUACCCUUGUAGUC